GACGAACGCUGGCGGCGUGCCUAAUACAUGCAAGUCGAACGCAGUGGGGACGGGUGAGUAACACGUGGGUAACCUUCCCUCAGAGGGGAUAACACUUGGAAACAGGUGCUAAACCGAUACUGAUGGAUGAACCCGUGGUGCAUUAGCUAGUUGGUGAGGUAACGGCUCACCAAGGCCACGAUGCAUAGGCGGCCUGAGAGGGUGAUCGGCCAGACUGGGACUGAGACACGGCCCAGACUCCUACGGGAGGCAGCAGUAGGGAAUAUUCGGCAAUGGACGAAAGUCUGACCGAGACACGCCGCGUGAGUGAAGAAGGUUUUCGGAUCGUAAAACUCUGUUGUUAGAGAAGCGGUAGCUAAACAGAAAGCCACGGCUAACUACGUGCCAGCCGCCGCGGUAAUAC
rnacentral:rRNA from 1 species